UGCCAAAAAUUGCAAUUUUUAGCUAAAAGAAUGCUCUACAAGCUCCCCAGGUCGAAUUUUUCAGUUUGACAAUUUUUCAUUUUUUGCUCAUUUGGUAAACUUUAGACGCUCGUAGUUUACUCCCAUGAAUAGAUAGAGGAGCUUGUGGGUAGCGCGCUGUGUUCGUCUCGUCGAGAUCUACACGUUGGUACCACAUACGAUAUGGAUUGCUAUUUGCUAUGCCACCAAACGCCGGUUAAUAGCUCUGCAUUCUGCAGUUAUGGCUACCUUGGUACUUGAUGUUGAUAAAAUAUCGUUAAUGUGUGAAUUAUGCAGCAUUCUAGGAUUAUACACCGUUGUUUUAGUUACGUUUGGAUUCAUGAUUCGUAAACUGUGUAUGAAUCGAGUGAAUCAAGUAUUUUUAGAUUAAGUAAGUAUAUUCCCAACGUCGAUUCGAUAUUGCAGUUAAUUUUGGAUAUUUACUUCGUGCGAGAACACAAAGACGGUAACCUGGAAGAAGACCUGUACGCGAAAUUAAUGUUCUUAUCAAGAUCACCGGAAACAUUAAUCAAAUGGACAAGAUUACCCGAAGAAUCAGAAUAAUGGAGAAAAUCCGAGCCGAAAACUGGCCAAUUUCUAAACUACUCCCUAUUCCGAAGCAAAGAGACGAGGUUUCGAAUAAGGAUCACACCCGAUGACGUAGUUAGCAUUGCAUCCGCAGCUUUACAAAUCAACAUAAAUAACGCUCGUAAAUACUUCGAUAAACUGGAACGCGACAGCCAAAUACAACCGAAUUAUAUCAAGUGACGAAAAUUAUUCAAGGCAAGAAAAGUCAAAUGAAGUUUGCAUUCCUGCCUAAGCCAUCGAGGAGUAGAAACUAUAAAAUGGGUCAUUGUGCAACACUGCGAGCUUUUACGCUGGCACGUGCGUUGGAAUCGAGAUUUUUUUAUACCAUAUUAUUAUUAUUCAAUUUAGUUUUAAAAGUUAUUUUCAAUUUUUUUAUUUAUCAUUUUUUUGAUAUGGUUUAAAAAAUUAUACGCAUUUAUCGAUCGAAA